GCAGUUUACUCUGGGCACGCUUUUCAUCCAAAGUGAAAAUGCUGUCCCCUAUCCCAAACAGGUUUUAAUAUAGGGAAUUUGAAAAUAUUUAUAAUUUUACUUUCAAUACUUAAGUAUCAAAAGUAAAUGUAAUUGCUAAAAUAUACUUAAGAAUUUAAAGUAAAUGUAAUUGCUAAAAUAUUAAAACCAAAUACUUUUAGACUUUUACUCAAGUAGUAUUUUACUAGGUAACUUUCACUUUUACUUGAACAAUUUUCUAUUAAGGUAACUUAACUUUUACUCAAGUAUGACAAUUGGGUACUUUUUCCACCACUGUACAUAUAUAUAAUAUAUUAUAAUUAUAUAUAUAUAUAUAUAUAUAUAUAUAUAUAUAUAUAUAUAUAACUUUCAUUUUUCUUUAUUUUUAAGAGAAAUGCCAUGGCGUUCGUGGUGCAAUAUAUGACUCGCAAUCUGCAACCAAUACAUGUUAGCUGCGACAUUGUUUUCAAAGUAUAUCAAUGGUCGUGAAAAUGACGAACAUGGCAACUCUACUAUGAGUUGUAUUUCCGUCAUGGCGCAGACCAUAUUAAGAAAUCGCAAGAUAUCAUUCCAUGUCACCCCACCACCGCCUACCAAAGGGCUCUUGGGCUCAAUUCUUCACGGCUGACGCCACAUACCUGAACUAUAUCGCCGUUUCGGUUAGUUAAAAUGAUUAUUCCGACAAUUUCUGGUUCUGACAUUUUGUGGAAACUGAACUGCGCUUACAUCCUAGUGGGGUGUCUGCUGCCUGUUGUAGACACUCACAUUAACUGUAAGGUGAUCCAACAUCCUAACUAUACAACGACCUAUGACCUCCAUGAACUACCUGAAUCUCUGCCUUUGGACAAUUGCGAGACCCAGUGGUUGGAUGAAAACAUGACUGUUCUUGCCAAUGACAAAGAGAUAGACGAAAACCGUACUUUGGCUCAGACCAGUCACUCCAUCACCAUCUUAGGCUGCCUGGACAGACUGACCUACUCAAUGGACUGCACGCUGACUGUGGCACCAUUUUGGGACGUGCAGUGCCUCACUAAUUGCAGUCAUGGACCUUACAAACGUGCCACCAAUCUCCACAGUAAUGACCAUGUCCCCAUCAAUCAAGAUGCUAGGAACCACACCGUUGUCUGGGUGCUGAUGGGUGUGGUUGGAGUCGCCGUGUUACUGCUGGGUGUGAAGGCAGCAUAUGUAUUAAAGAAGAGAUAUGUCUGCAAGACAUGGAACAAGAUGUCGACCCAACACUGUUCCUCAGUGUGA
rnacentral:lncRNA from 1 species